GGAGUCUGGACCGUGUCUCAGUUCCAGUGUGGGGGACCUUCCUCUCAGAACCCCUACCGAUCGUAGCCACGGUGGGCCGUUACCCCGCCGUCAAGCUAAUCGGACGCAUCCCCAUCCCAUGGCGUCAAACUUUAGUGCUCCUCAGAUGUCCUCAAUGCACAACAUAGGGUGUUAAUCCGCAUUUCUACGGGCUAUGCCCUACCAGGGGGAAGGUUGGAUACGCGUUACUCACCCGUGCGCCGGUCGCCAUCAAGAGUUGCAAGCAACUCCCAUGCUGCCCCUCGACUUGCAUGUGUUAAGCCUGUAGCUAGCGUUCAUC
rnacentral:rRNA from 1 species